rnacentral:lncRNA from 1 species
UCAAAAUGAAAUUGCUGAUAGUUUUUGCAGUAGUAGUAGGCAAGUAUAAAAUUAAUUUUCAGUUGCUUUUCAUAGAAAACAAACACGUUUCGUACAGAAGCAUUUUCUUAAAAAAAAUAGUACCAGGGAAGUUACGGCGGGAUACACACUAGGAAAGAAGAAAAAAAUUGCGAAUGAGAAUAAAUAACAAAGGUUUCUAGUCCUAAACGGGACAUCAAACCCAUUUUCGGUCAACAAUUGACAAUGUUCUUACAUUUAGAUAUCAUUAAAAACAUCAAACGUUACAAAUUAGUUCCAUACGUACAUACGAUAAAAUUGAUUAAAAUAAAAGCAUUCAAAAUGCCUGUCGCUUUGUAUUUAAUGAAUGGCUAUUAUCUAUUUUGAAUUUAUUGAACCAUAAAACUAUUUUUUGACUCUUCAGAUUGAAUAAUCCGCGACGUGGAUUAUGUAAAAUGUGAAGAGUCAAAAAUUAAUUUUAUGGUUCAAUAAAUUCAAAAUAAAUUAUUGCCAUUCAUUAUAAAUACAUUUCUAUCAAAAAUACGUCUCAAAGAACUCUUAAUAUUAUUUAUAUUAACAAUAACAACGUACACACAUGUUGGCGUAUGAAUACACAACGUCAAAGUGGGCGUGUCUCCAUGAAAAUUGACAACAUUGAAAAUAAAAGUAAUACUUUUAACCAAUCAGAACACAGUAAAUACACCAAAUUUAUUUAUAAUGGGAUAAAUUGUGCGCAAAGUGUUAUGUCUUGUCGUAAAUAAUAUUUAUAACCUACGUAAUUUUUGUUUGUUUUUUUUAAUUUCUUUAUCAUUUCUGUUUACAAAAUUUUGAUUUUUUUUUAAAUACUAAGGCUUUUCUACCUCAUGCAUAGAUUACCUUAGCUGUAUUUGGCAACACUUUUAGGAAUUUUGGUCCUCAAUGCUCUUCAACUUCGUACUUUAUUUGGCCUUUUUAACUUUUUUGGAUGCGAGCGUCACUGAUGAGUCUUUUGAAGACGAAACGCGCGUCUGGCGUAUAUAUAAAAUUUAGUCCUGGUUUCUAUGAUGAGUUUAUUUACAACCACUUGGUCGAUGCAACUGCUGGUGGAAAUUUAUUUCCCCGAGGGUAUCACAAGCCCAGUAGUCAGCACUGUUUGUGCUGGUAUGAACUAUCAUUGGUAUUGUUAUAUUUAUAAAUUAACUGUUUACAAAAUCUUGAAUGUUUUGAAAUACUAAGGCUUUUCUACCUCAGGCAUAGAUUACCUUAGCUGUAUUUGGCAAAACUUUUAGGAAUUUUGGUCCUCAAUGGUCUUCAACUUCGUACUUUAUUUGGCCUUUUUAACUUUUUGGAUUCGAGCGUCACUGAUGAGUCUUUUGAAGACGAAACCUGCGUCUGGCGUAUAUAUAAAAUUUAGUCCUGGUAUCUAUGAUGAGUUUAUUUUCAACUUUCUUCAAACUAAAGAACUUCCUUUCGCGCAUGAAAUUGACUCUGUUUAAAUACAUGUACAUAAUGAAAGUAGUUUCGGCAACAUGUUCUAUAGAAGUGUAAAGAAUAAAAUUCUGCCUCACUUAUCACAUUCGAGUAUAAGAACAAUGGGGAUCCAGAAAUUUUAUAAAGGGGUGUGUGCACUGACUGCCCUAAGAGGGGGCCACUCCAGGUAUGUUUCAGUGGUUCCCUUUAGGGAGCUACCAUUUAAUUUUUAGGGGGCGGGGGGUAGGAUGAAAUUUGAAAAAAAUAGGCAGGACAGGAGUUUUGAGUAAAAAAAAAGGCAGGAUGAGACACUUGCAAAAAAAAUAAGUCAGGACAAUUUAGGUAAAAAAAAGUCAGGAUAAAACUUUAAAAAAAAGGCAGGACCGAACAGAGUGAAAAAUAAAAAGGCAGGACAGAGAUUACAGCUAAAAAUAAAUGCAGGACAAAAUUUUAUCUCCUAGCCCCACCCAUAAAAAUCAAAUGGUAGCUCCCUUAUAAUCAACCAAAUGUUUCCCACCAAAAGGGGGUGUCACACUCCCACUUCCUCACCUGGAUCCGACUAUGAAGUAGAUAUACAAAAUAAUAUAAUAAGAAUUAUUACUCAUUGGUACAUUAUAUUUUGUAGCUGUUGCUGUUGCUGAGCCAUGUAAACAAUCAUCUGACUGCAUGUUUGAGAACUGCGAUACAAACGUUUCCCACAUUGCUUGUCAUAAUCACGUGUGUACAUGUGACGCAAACGGCCAGUCUGGAAACAGUAAGUUUUGAAUUCGUUUUUUUUUUAGACAGGAAUUCAUUUUCUUUUUUUUAAAUAAGGCCGUUAGUUUUAUCGUUUGAAUUGUUUUACAUUGCCAUUUCGGGGCCUUUUACAGCUGACUAUGCCGUAUGAACUUUGCUCAUGCCGAAGGCCGCACGGUGGUCUAUGGUUGUUAAUUGCUGUGUCAUUUGGUCUCUUGUGAAGAGUUGUCUCAUAGACAUUCAUACCACAUCUUCCUUUUUAAAAUUAAAACGUAUCGAAAUGUCUUGAUAUUAUUAGCACAUCUCUUUAAUUAAAAAAAAUCUAUCAGAUAAGAUUCUAAUUCGAUGUAUCUAAUAUUAUUUGAUAAAUUUUAUGGUUUUUAACAAAUCAAAAGAAAAUAAACCAUUUCCGUGUUUGUCAAAUAAUCUUCAUUGUAUUUGCUUAAAUGAUGGUCAAUCAUGUUAAGCUUGAAUUUUGUGUAUCACUUCAAACUUAAAUUAUAUUCACCUUGAUGGAACUUUUUUUCAAAAUGUACAGCUUGGUCAAAGGAAGUUUAAAGAUUUAAUUGUUAAGGUCAAUGAAAUACACAAUAUAUAUUAAAUUAGCUAGGCGUCUCUACUUUUCACCAUUGUUCCUCAUGAUUAUUAGUUGCCUAACGUCCAGUAGCAAAUAUUUCAUGCAUGUUCAGGACUAUGUUCGUCAUGUGUAGAUAUAAAGUAUACUUAUAAAAAGAAAUUCCCAAGGGUUGACUGUUGAAUGAAAAUGUUUUCAUCCGUUACCGUCCACCGUCCGACAGUGAAAAAGUUCAUGGCUUUUGUGGAUGUAUAAAUACAUAGACACGUCCGGUAGGAAUGGGGACGUUACAUUCGCUACACCAUAAAGGGUACAUUUUAUAUAAGUGCCACCCUCUUAUUGCGUUACUAAAAACGUUACUAUAACUCUUUGAUGGAUCAGUAGAUUACAUAUUGGUUGAGUUUUGAAGGAAUUUGUUCUGUCCUUAAUCGAUAUAUUUUUACCCGCGGUUUCUAAUUGUACAACACAGUGCCAAUUUCCUACCAAUUAUCAUGACGGACCGAUCUUGCACUUAAUUUCUAUUGUCACUAACGUAAAAUAGCCACAAAUAAAUCAAUCAGUCAUACAAGCAUGGAAUUAGGUCCUUCACAACUCAGUUACAGAUAUUUUGUAGAAUAAUUAUAUUGUUAUUCGGCCGUCCAAUUACUAUCAACUUGUAUAUUGUAUAUUGUAUUUAAUUCAAAUAUAUAAAAAAAAACUUAAAUUAUCUAGUUGAUAAGUUGUUACAGGUUUAAUGAAAGGCCCUUUAAUUGUAUCGUUAAACAAGUGACUUAACCUAAAUGCAUCGUUUAGUAUUAUUGUUUUAACAUGUUUCAGUGCCUCUAUCUUUAAACAAAUAACUUAACCUAACCACAUCGUUUUUUUUUCUCUUUUAAGCAUGUUCCAGCGCCUCAGAAUGUUCCACAAGAGUUAAAUGUAGGGACCGUCACCAGGCUCACUGUGUAGAUGGAAAUUGCAAAUGUUUAUUCGGUCUUGGC